CUUCACCAUGUUCGCGUCCGUCCCAAUACUCUGUUGCUAAGGGGCUGUGUUGACUUCGGUCAACGCGAACCGACCCACAUUGUUGCGGGAAGCUGUAGGGGGACGCAGGAAGGUAGAUGAACCCGGUGAAUGGUAGAACCGGGGUAAGCGUGUAGGAGGAGGACCAGGUAAAUCCGGGCCUCAUAAACUCUGAGACGUGAUACCGAGCCGCUUCAGGCGAAGUCAUUGAUCCUAUGCUGCCUAGAAAAGCCCAGCAGCGAGUUGACAUGGUGCCCGUACCCCAAACCAACACAGGUGGACAGGUAGAGCAUACCAAGGCGAGUGGGAUAACUAUGGUUAAGGAACUCGGCAAAUUGCCUCCGUAACUUCGGGAGAAGGAGGACCCCAGUAGCGUGAUGAGACUUGCUCUCUGAGCGUGAAGGGGUGGCACAAAAUUGAGGGAAGCGACUGUUUACCAAAGACACAGCAGCGUGCUAGCCGUAAGGCGCUGUAUACGCUGUGACUCCUGCCCGGUGCUGGAAGGUUACGGGGAUGGGUUAGUCCUUCGGGACGAAGCUCUGAACCUAAGCCCCAGUAAACGGCGGCCGUAACUAUAACGGUCCUAAGGUAGCGAAAUUCCUUGUCGGGUAAGUUCCGACCUGCACGAAUGGAGUAACGACUUCCCUACUGUCCCAACCAUAGACCCAGCGAAAUUGAAGUACGAGUAAAGAUGCUCGUUAGCUGCAGAAGGACGGAAAGACCCCGUGGACCUUUACUAUAACUUGAUGUUGUGUUUUGUCAUAUGUUGUGUAGGAUAGGUGGGAGACUUGGAAGCAUAGACGCUAGUCUGUGUGGAGUCAUCGUUGAAAUACCACCCUGCAUAUGGUGAGGCUCUAACCUAGGCCCGUUAUCCGGGUUGGGGACAGCGUCAGGCGGGUAGUUUAACUGGGGCGGUUGCCUCCUAAAGAGUAACGGAGGCGCCCAAAGGUUCCCUCAGCCUGGUUGGCAAUCAGGCGUUGAGUGCAAUGGCAAAAGGGAGCUUGACUGUGAGACCUACAAGUCGAGCAGGAGCGAAAGCUGGGCAUAGUGAUCCGGCGGUUGCGUGUGGAAGCGCCGUCGCUCAACGGAUAAAAGGUACCCCGGGGAUAACAGGCUAAUCUUGCCCUAGCGUCCAUAGCGACGGCAAGGUUUGGCACCUCGAUGUCGGCUCAUCGCAUCCUGGGGCUGAAGCAGGUCCCAAGGGUUGGGCUGUUCGCCCAUUAAAGCGGUACGCGAGCUGGGUUCAGAACGUCGUGAGACAGUUCGGUCCCUAUCCUCUGCAGCCGGAGGUGAAUUGAGGAAAGCUGUCCCUAGUACGAGAGGACCGGGACGGACGCAGCUCUCGUGUGCCAGUUGUCCUGCCAAGGGCAUGGCUGGUUAGCGACCUGCGGAAAGGAUAACCGCUGAAAGCAUCUAAGCGGGAAGCCUCUUCCAAGAUGAAUUCACCCACAGGGUUAACCUGGUAAGGCCCGUGGUAGACCACCACGUUGAUAGGCCGGAAGUGUAAGCGUGGCAACACGUUCAGCUGACCGGUACUAAUCGGCCGAGGGCUUGAGUC
rnacentral:rRNA from 1 species